rnacentral:rRNA from 1 species
UUUACAUAGAGUUUGAUCCUGGCUCAGGACGAACGCUGGCGGUGCGCCUAAUGCAUGCAAGUCGAACGGGCGAAGGGGCUUCGGCCCCCUAGCUAGUGGCAGACGGCUGAGUAACACGUAAGUGACCUACCCCGAAGCGGGGGAUAAACUCGAGAAAUCGGGUCUAAUACCCCGUAAGUUCUUCGCACUUCGAUGCGAAGUAGAAAGGUUUCGACCGCUUUGGGAGGGGCUUGCGGCCUAUCAGGUAGUUGGUGGGGUAAUGGCCUACCAAGCCUCAGACGGGUAACCGGUGUGAGAGCACGAUCGGUCAGAGGGGGACUGAGACACGGCCCCCACUCCUACGGGAGGCAGCAGCAGGGAAUCUUGCGCAAUGGGCGAAAGCCUGACGCAGCGACACCGCGUGGGGGAAGAAUGCUUUCGAGUUGUAAACCCCUUUUCCCGGGGAAGAG